rnacentral:rRNA from 1 species
AGUGAACGCUGGCGGUAGGCCUAACACAUGCAAGUCGAACGGCAGCACAGUAAGAGCUUGCUCUUACGGGUGGCGAGUGGCGGACGGGUGAGGAAUACAUCGGAAUCUACUUUUUCGUGGGGGAUAACGUAGGGAAACUUACGCUAGUACCGCAUACGACCUACGGGUGAAAGCAGGGGAUCUUCGGACCUUGCGCGAUUGAAUGAGCCGAUGUCGGAUUAGCUAGUUGGCGGGGUAAAGGCCCACCAAGGCGACGAUCCGUAGCUGGUCUGAGAGGAUGAUCAGCCACACUGGAACUGAGACACGGUCCAGACUCCUACGGGAGGCAGCAGUGGGGAAUAUUGGACAAUGGGCGCAAGCCUGAUCCAGCCAUACCGCGUGGGUGAAGAAGGCCUUCGGGUUGUAAAGCCCUUUUGUUGGGAAAGAAAAGCAGCAGGUUAAUACCCCGCUGUCCUGACGGUACCCAAAGAAUAAGCACCGGCUAACUUCGUG